rnacentral:rRNA from 1 species
UACGUAGGGUGCAAGCGUUGUCCGGAAUUAUUGGGCGUAAAGAGCUCGUAGGCGGUCUGUCGCGUCUGCUGUGAAAACUCAGGGCUUAACCCCGAGCCUGCAGUGGAUACGGGCAGACUAGAGGUAGGUAGGGGAGAGUGGAAUUCCCGGUGUAGCGGUGAAAUGCGCAGAUAUCGGGAGGAACACCGGUGGCGAAGGCGGUUCUCUGGGCCUUAACUGACGCUGAGGAGCGAAAGCGUGGGGAGCGAACAGG